GAUGAACGCUGGCGGCGUGCCUAAUACAUGCAAGUCGAGCGAACAGACGAGGAGCUUGCUCCUUUGACGUUAGCGGCGGACGGGUGAGUAGCACGUAGGUAACCUACCUAUAAGACUGGGAUAACUUCGGGAAACCGGAGCUAAUACCGGAUAAUAUUUCGAACCGCAUGGUUCGAUAGUGAAAGAUGGCUUUGCUAUCACUUAUAGAUGGACCUGCGCCGUAUUAGCUAGUUGGUAAGGUAACGGCUUACCAAGGCAACGAUACGUAGCCGACCUGAGAGGGUGAUCGGCCACACUGGAACUGAGACACGGUCCAGACUCCUACGGGAGGCAGCAGUAGGGAAUCUUCCGCAAUGGGCGAAAGCCUGACGGAGCAACGCCGCGUGAGUGAUGAAGGUCUUCGGAUCGUAAAACUCUGUUAUUAGGGAAGAACAAACGUGUAAGUAACUGUGCACGUCUUGACGGUACCUAAUCAGAAAGCCACGGCUAACUACGU
rnacentral:rRNA from 1 species